GACAGAGGGUGCAAACGUUUGUUCGGAAUUACUGGGCGUAAAGCGUGUGUAGGCGGUCUUGUAAGUCGGGUGUGAAAGCCCAGGGCUCAACCCUGGAAGUGCACUCGAAACUGCAAGGCUAGAGUACCGGAGAGGUUGGUGGAAUUCUCGGUGUAGAGGUGAAAUUCGUAGAUAUCGAGAGGAACACCGGCGGCGAAGGCGGCCAACUGGACGAGUACUGACGCUGAGACACGAAAGCGUGGGGAGCAAACAGG
rnacentral:rRNA from 1 species